rnacentral:rRNA from 1 species
GGGUGAGUAACACGUAGGUAAUCUGCCUUUAUCCCUGACAUAACAUCGAGAAAUCGGUGCUAAUAUCAGAUGAGGCCGUAAGGUCAAAGCUUCGGCGGAUUGGGAUGAGUCUGCGUAAGAUUAGCUAGUUGGUAAGGUAAUGGCUUACCAAGGCAACGAUCUUUAACUGGUCUGAGAGGAUGAUCAGUCACACUGGAACUGAGACACGGUCCAGACUCCUACGGGAGGCAGCAGUGAGGAAUUUUGGUCAAUGGGGGCAACCCUGAACCAGCGACGCCGUGUGUGGGAUGACAGAGCUCUGCUCCGUAAACCACUGUCGGGAUAGAAAAAAAGUAGGCUUUGCUUACUGGGAUUGUAUAUCCAAAGGAAGGACCGGCUAACUACGUGCCAGCAGCCGCGGUAAUACGUAGGAUCCAAGCGUUGUCCGGAUUUACUGGGUGUAAAGGGUGCGCAGGCGGACAAGUCAGUCAGGGGUGAAAUCCCGCAGCUCAACUGCGGAACUGCCUUUGAUACUGCUUGUCUUGAGUACGGGAGAGGCUGAUGGAAUUCUUGGUGUAGCGGUGAAAUGCGUAGAUAUCAGGAAGAACACCAGUAGCGAAGGCGGUCAGCUGGCCCGUAACUGACGCUCAGGCACGAAAGCGUGGGUAGCGAACAGGAUUAGAUACCCUGGUAGUCCACGCCCUAAACGAUGUAUGCUUGGUGUUGGGAAAGGUUCUCGGUGCCGGAGGAAACCCAUUAAGCAUACCACCUGGGGAGUACGAUCGCAAGGUUGAAACUCAAAGGAAUUGACGGGGGCCCGCACAAGCGGUGGAUCAUGUGGUUUAAUUCGAUGCAACGCGAAGAACCUUACCCGGGCUUGAAGUGCUAUUGACCGCUGCCGAAAGGUAGUUUUCCUUCGGGACAGUAGCAGAGGUGCUGCAUGGCUGUCGUCAGCUCGUGCCGUGAGGUGUUGGGUUAAGUCCCGCAACGAGCGCAACCCUUAUCCUUAGUUGCCAUCAGUUCGGCUGGGAACUCUAAGGAGACUGCCCGCGCAAGCGGAGAGGAAGGUGGGGACGACGUCAAGUCAUCAUGGCCCUUAUGUCCGGGGCUACACACGUGAUACAAUGGUAGACACAAUGGGCGAAGCCGCAAGGUGGAGGAAAUCCAUAAAGUCUAUCUCAGUUCGGAUCGAAGUCUGCAACUCGACUUCGUGAAGGUGGAAUCGCUAGUAAUCGCAGAUCAGCGCGCUGCGGUGAAUACGUUCCCGGGCCUGUACACACCGCCCGUCAAGCCAUGGAAG